rnacentral:misc_RNA from 1 species
AACCUAGCACACCUGCGGUGUGUACCUGCGGAGGGAUCAUUACCGAGUGAGGGCCCUCCGGGUCCAACCUCCCACCCGUGUUUAACGAACCUUGUUGCUUCGGCGGGCCCGCCUCACGGCCGCCGGGGGGCACCCCGCCCCCGGGCCCGCGCCCGCCGAAGACACCUGUGAACGCUGUCUGAAGUUGCAGUCUGAGACACUAGCUCAAUCAGUUAAAACUUUUAACAACGGAUCUCAGAU